UUUGAGUCAGAAUCUUUACUACGGAGGUGGAAGAAGGCAGUGCUGCAGAGGCGGAGAAGCUUGUCUCAAAACCAAUCAAGGCCACAUCCUCGAUCAUCUUCAUAAGAAUUCAAGCAAGAUCAGUUAAGUUGAUGAAAUAGUGCUGGAUGAACCCUAAUAAAGAUAGAUGAACUAGGGUUAGGGUUGAACUUGGGUUUGGUAUGAAGCAUUGGAUGUUGGAUGAUAACUCUAUUCAAGGAUGAAAUUUUGAAUUAGAUGAGAAGUUAUUCAUGGAUGAGAAGUCAUUCAUGAAUGAUAAAUUAUACUUAGAUGAAUUUUUAUAUUGAUAGAUGGAAAUUAAUAAAAUAAAUAAAUAAAUAAAUAAAUAAAUACAUUAGAUUAA
rnacentral:lncRNA from 1 species